UACAGAGGGUGCAAACGUUGCUCGGAAUUACUGGGCGUAAAGGGCGUGUAGGCGGCUUAUUAAGUCGUGUGUGAAAGCCCUGGGCUUAACCCAGGAGGUGCACAGGAAACUGAUAGGCUUGGAGUGCGGGAGAAGAGGGCGGAAUUCCCGGUGUAGAGGUGAAAUUCGUAGAGAUCGGGAGGAACACCAGAAGCGAAAGCGGCUCUCUAGACCGACACUGACGCUGAAACGCGAAAGCGUGGGGAGCAAACAGG
rnacentral:rRNA from 1 species